AUACUCCCUAUUUUUAUAUUUUUCCUUGAAAGUACAUCCAAUUUAAGUAACAAUAGCGCAAACAGAUAUUUUUUUUGUUACUUCUUGACUUUACUAUGAUUUUUUAAAAAUCGAAAAAUGCACGAAUGUUGAAUUUAUUUUCACCAAAACAUGAAUGUUGAGUUUUUACAUUUAUCCCUCGGCAACACUGUUGAUUCUUGAAUUGCACAGAAUUUUUGGCAACACUGUGUUAAUAUGGCAGCUUGUUCACCAAUAAGGAACUGGUUCGAAAUUGGUUAUGAAAAGUAGUGUUCUUGUCUCUUCAUUUCGUGUCAGUAAAAGUAAAUAAAAAGAAUUCCUGCUACAUCAUGUCGAACUAUAAUUAUGAAAAAGCCGAUUCUAGAAAUUUACCUGUGCUUACUGAUGAAAUGUUGGUAAUAUUUUUCGCUACCAAUCCUAGUUUUGCUAGUUCUGAGAUGAGACAAGUGAAAGUAAGAAGAUCAGGCAGAAUUACAUACGGGGAUUUCGCUGUUGGUUUUGUGAAACUUCGUCGUUUUGGAGAUCAUUUUGAAAUAUGUGCCAGUGUUACUCCUGAACACAGAAUUAGCCACCAACCGUAUGAAGUAACUUUGCUUGUUAAUGAGAAGAAGUGUGAUGUGGAAGAUUUUAGCUGCCAGUGUUAGGCAAGCAAAGGUUAGUAUGCUCUUGAAUGGAAAAGCAUAACGUAAACCGGCUACUAAUGGUGAUGCACCUCCAGCGAAAGUGGUUCGUUCGUAACACAAAUUUGGAAUAGCGCUUCCAACUUUACAUGAAUCAUGCGGCAGUGUACUUUCAUGUGGCCUAGGUAGAAUUCGGCCUGCUCUGUUUAGGAGGAGAUGUGAUGGAAAAAAGUCGUCCUGCAGAAUUUCUUCCCCACAAAAUCAAUCUCUUUGCACCCUGUUCGAAGAUAUCAGCCGGCGGCUCACAUUCUGUUAAAUGACGGCCGCGUUACACUGGAAGAUAACAAAAGGUUGCCGAACUAAGUUUGUCCUGGAAUCGAAUCGCUUGACAUUGCUUCCGGUGGCGAUCAUCUGAUUAAAAAUUUGGAAAAACUUAGAAUGGUCAUGUCUACAACGUUGGAUGUGCCGAGCAGGAUCAGCUGAAUUGUAUCUUGACCCUAGCAACAUCUGGUGAGUCCCGACGGGGUAAAAAGGAGCAGCCUAAACCUGGUGUCGUCACAUUGAGGAAAAAGUUUGUUCUCUCGCAGGUGCUAUUUGGGCUUCAACAUAUUGUACCUUCUAUAAAGAUAGUACAUCUAAAAUCUUUGCUUUCGGAUUGAGCAACUAUUAUCAGCUUGACAUUCCGAAUCCGAAUGAGAAUGUAAUGAAAACAUUAUUCGUACCGGUCAGCAAACAGAUCCAGGACAAAAAGAUUCUGAAAGUAUCCAACGAGGGUCAACACAGUUUGUUCUUGGUAGAGGAUAAACCGUCAAAAGAAGGUACACACAUUUCGGAUGUUGCUAAACAUGCUGUUAAACCUAAGAAAACUUCCACUAAGGAAAAAACAGAACCAUCUUUUACUUUGGAUAAAGCAAGCAGUAGUGUGAAGUCAGAUGAUGUAAAACUCUUUGAACGAAAAGAUAUAUGUACUUCGCUUACAAUAAAAUGCUUUUGGCAGCAAA